CCUACGGGAGGCAGCAGUGGGGAAUAUUGCACAAUGGGGGAAACCCUGAUGCAGCGACGCCGCGUGAGUGAAGAAGUAAUUCGUUAUGUAAAGCUCUAUCAGCAGGGAAGAAAAUGACGGUACCUGAGUAAGAAGCCCCGGCUAACUACGUGCCAGCAGCCGCGGGAAUACGUAGGGGGCAAGCGUUAUCCGGAUUUACUGGGUGUUAAGGGAGCGUUGACGGCAUUGCAAGUUUGGGGUGAAAGGCGGGGGCUCAACCCCCGGACUGCUCUGGAAACUGUACGGCUGGAGUGCAGGAGAGGUAAGUGGAAUUCCUAGUGUAGCGGUGAAAUGCGUAGAUAUUAGGAGGAACACCAGUGGCGAAGGCGGCUUACUGGACUGUAACUGACGUUGAGGCUCGAAAGCGUGGGGAGCAAACAGGAUUAGAUACCCUUGUAGUC
rnacentral:rRNA from 1 species